rnacentral:rRNA from 1 species
GGUGAACNUGCGGAAGGAUCAUU